rnacentral:tRNA from 1 species
GGGCGGUUAACUCAGCGGUAGAGUGCCAUCCUCACACGGUGGAAGUCACUGGUUCAAAUCCAGUACCGCCUA